rnacentral:tRNA from 3 species
GCUCCAAUCGUAUAAUGGUUAUUACACGCCCUUGGUAAGGGCGAAAUGGCAGUUCAAUUCUGCCUUGGAGCACCA